rnacentral:rRNA from 1 species
UACGUAGGGUGCGAGCGUUAAUCGGAAUUACUGGGCGUAAAGCGUGCGCAGGCGGUUUUGUAAGCCAGAUGUGAAAUCCCCGGGCUUAACCUGGGAAUGGCAUUUGGGACUGCAAGGCUGGAGUGCGGCAGAGGAGACUGGAAUUCCUGGUGUAGCAGUGAAAUGCGUAGAUAUCAGGAGGAAUACCGAUGGCGAAGGCAGGUCUCUGGGCUGACACUGACGCUCAUGCACGAAAGCGUGGGGAGCAAACAAGG